UACGUAGGUGGCAAGCGUUGUCCGGAUUUACUGGGCGUAAAGAGCGCGCAGGCGGUCGUUCAAGUCGCGUGUGAAAGCCCCCGGCUCAACUGGGGAGGGUCACGCGAUACUGCGUAACUAGAGUGUGGUAGAGGCGUGUAGAAUUCCGGGUGUAGUGGUGAAAUGCGUAGAGAUCCGGAGGAAUACCAGUGGCGAAGGCGGCACGCUGGGCCAUAACUGACGCUAAGACUCGAAAGCAUGGGUAGCGAACGGG
rnacentral:rRNA from 1 species